UUAUGUGAUGCAUCUCAAAAUUUAUCUUACUUUAUCUAGCUUAUCAAUGUAAAGAUAAGGGUAUUUCUUGGUGUAAAAGAGGAAAUGCUGAGGUGACGUCUCUUUGUACUAAGGUGUGUCAACUUCAAUUCUUAGUUCUUUACUGGCAGAGAGCUAAGUGAUAGCAGGAUUUCUUUCUAAUCAUUUUAUGAUCCAUCAUCAGGUUUGCUACUUUGUAGAUGUUUGUCCUUCUCACCAGCUCAACACAAGCUGAGAGUUCUAUCAGGUCUUGUCUCACUGCCGAUUGUACGUAAUGAAGAUCUUAUGGCCAAGAGCUACCUCAGAAUGUAUGUGGGCAGAACUCCAGGCAAACAGAGGAACAUAGGGUGAGGCAAGCUGAAGCUGGAGAUUCAGAAUAGACAUGGUAGGGAAGCGAUAUGGACCAAAACAGUACGUACUUGUAAAGAGAUAAUCACCACUUUGGUCUUAAAACUAGAAGAAUGGGGUUAAAUUUACAGAAGGUGAGGGCAUGCCCAGUGAAAGGCCCAAGGUAAAAACUGUCAGAUAGGAUCUCAUGGUAUAGCUUACAGAGGCCUGUGAGCAAUGGUCCUUUGGUGAAAUUGGUGCAAUGAGGAGAACCCCACAAGCAGCAUGAGGGUGCCUUCAUUGGUGGCUCCAACAUUUUACUUUUCCUCUGUCAAUUGGACUCCAAACUGUUCCUAGCACAAUAAUGAUUUCAACUCUUUCUCCUAAGGGAUUUUGUGGCAACUGUGGAAUGCUAAGUACAAGGCUUCAUGAGAGUUCCCAUAACACACACCCAUGUCGCAACCUACCAUGCAGGCUAUUUCUUGAUGUGAUCUCAAGCACAUGUACAUAACGAGACAAGAGAAUCUUUUGACUGCAUAUUCAAACUGGUGUUAUUUUUCAGGAAUUUUUAAUGGCUAAUAUUGCUGAAUGAGGAUAAUUUGAGUUAAGAUGAGACAUUUUUGGGCAGGAAUAGCAGGGAAAUAUUCAUUAAAAUGCAUAGGAAUUACUAAGGUUUUCAUAAUCAAGCCUUGAGGAAUACUUGGCCUUGGAAUCAGGAGUUGCUCAGUGUCUAUGCCCUAGGAAAGUCUCCUGGAAAGGGCACAUCAGCUUAUGCACUAUACAGGGAGGUUAUUAGCAGGGAGGCAAAUUCUGUUCACUAUGAUAUCAGAUGUCCCUUCUUGGAAAUUCUAUGGUUUCCUAGAGAGUUCUUGGCAUCCUCUGUGAUGUCACCAGUGUUGUAGUAACAACCAGUGCCCUACUUUUUUCAGUCCCUGCCUGGCAGAUACAUAGGAAGACACGUUUUCCCAUCUUCCCAAGAAUUUUGGGAGAAUGAAUGGCAAUUUUCGACAGAGUAGUGUGAGGCAAUCUGGCCUUUCAUCAAAAAAAAAAUAAUGAACAAAAGAAACAAGUCUGGGGAAUGUGGAGUAAGUUCUGUGAAUUGUAUUCUGAGCUUUCUGUCAGAUGGAGUAUAGGUUUAGGCUGAUAUUUCUAACAAUGGGCCACAACAACUGGAGCAUCUGCAACGGAAUUGAAUUUCUAUGAAGAUCACAAUUCCUGAGAGUCAAAGAUUUCAGAACAUUAGUUUUCCCAUCCCCAAAGGGAGGAUAUGGUAAGGCUAAUGCUAUUAUUCUGUGAACUUCUGGCCUUUACUUUUAAAGAGCAUAUGUUACAUAUGUUAUGUUACAUUGAUAAAAUAACACCAUCAGGAGACAUUCGGGCUCCAACAUUUCUGAAUUUAGACAGGGCAUCAUUCUACCUCGCUCUCAUUGCUUCUUUAAAUACAGUAGACAUCUGACUUUAGCUUGCCUUGUAAUUUUGUAGAACAUUAAUAGUGUUCCAGCCUUAGGAUUUCAUUCAAUGUUACAGUACUUACCAAAUAUUCUGAAAACCCUAGCUUCCACCCUAGUCCGGUGUGCUAUGGAGAAAGAAAAUAACGAACCCCAAUUGCACUUGAAGUUUACCCACCAACAAGAAGAGAGCCUGAUAACACUGAUACUGUGGCCUACUUUAAUACAGCCUAAGUCCGGGCUCUGCAUGGUGCUCAUUGACAUUUUGACAUCGGAACCACGACAGAAAUCAGCAAAAGGUUCAUUUAUUACAUGCUGUUGUUACUAAGGUGAGGCAAAGCCUUGCCCCAUAUAGAGACUGGUAGGAUGUCAUGGCAGUACAUAAACUCGCUUUUCCCUGUCCUGUGUGUCUUUGCCUGCAGAGGUCUCUCCUGCAGGAAAUACUUUCACAUGCUUCUUUAAAAGCACCUGUUCCUCACAUCUAGAUCAGCUGUGAAAAGAGGCUUCUCCAAGUCAGUCUGAGUGCUCCCACUCCCUGCUCAGAGCUGCAACACCAUAGGAUCCUCCAGCCACACUGAACGGUAGGUCCCUUUGAGGAGUUAGACGAAAGUGCCCCUUCUCAGAAGUGAUUUAGAACAGAAGGUUGAGAAGUGAGAGUCAACACCCAAGUGCUUCUUCCUGGAGAAAGCAACCAGAUCUCCCUGUUAAACUGUGUAGUCUAUCACAGGACCCAGUUCUUUGCCUGCAGAAGAUUUUUCUGGAGAUUAGUUGCCCAGUCAGAAUGGGGUUACAUUCUUGAUCCAUGCUCACUCCCACAACAAAAGCUCCUCCCCUAGAAGUCCUUGAGUUGACCCAAGUCCUUUUAGGGCCAACAGACAAGAGAGAACAGAGUGCAUCCAAGGGAAGAGAAGAGGCCAGAAUGAUUAUAACCUGGAGAAAUCCCCCAAAUCGGCCACCUAACAACUCUGGGGUUUGUGCAUAUUGUGGAUUUCAGAAUCUUAAGGUCAGAUUUUUCUGAUAACACCUGCUAGGUGAAGCUGAAGUCUACUGUAGGUGGGAUUAUCCCAGGCAGGGAGGGGAUCUGGGUCUUCAGGCCUGGCCAGCUUCUUCAAUCUCCUGAAAGUAAUUGUUGGUCAGCUCUAAAUCUGAAGUGGGAGUUGGUUUUUCUCAACUCAAACAGAUAUUUCAAUUCUCAUACACUAUGUGAGAGACACACAGUUACCCACGGGGGAUUUGAACUUACUUCUAUACAAGUGACUGUGGGCCAAAAGAGGGAAACCAUACCUGCCUUUAGCAUUCUGUCUUUAUCAGAGACUACAGGGACUAGCUUCCUGGACAGACAUGUCCAAGCAGACAGACAUUGUAAGGGGGAAAAUUGAGGUAAGAAAUGUCAUGGGGCCAGUGAUUUCAGAUUGUACCUUUAGCCAGAAAAUCUCUGGUGGCAUUAAGGCAAGCAGCCUUGGGCCUGCUAAAACUUGUCACUACUUCACGGUGUCUCUGCCUUUAUAUCUGCUCUGGGUCUUCCUUAUAUGAAGGCCUUUCUUUAAAAAAAAUUAUAUAAGCAAUGUUUCUCAGACUGUGAGGCACAACUUCACACACAGAUUGCAUAUCAGAUACCUUGCAUAUUAUGACUUAUAAGUACUGCAAACUUCAUUAGGAAGUAGCAAUGAAACAAUUUUAUACUUGGGGUCACCACAGCAAGAAGAGCUGUAUUACAGAGUUGCAGCACUAGGAGUGUUGAGACCCACUGCCAUAGAAGCUGACACAUGGGAACAGAUUCCUCAGAUGAGGAGAGCCACAUGGCAAGGGAUACUGUGUCCCACCCUAGGACCCAGAGGCAGGAUCUAUCCCAGGAGUCUGUGUGCUCAUCUUGUCUUCAGUUCUCCCAGGUUCAAGAAGAGCAUUGAUCAUCUCAGGCAGUCAGCUUGCACAGCCCACAUCAGGCCCAAUGCUUCCCUUCACAGAGAAGGAUGUGGGUGUAACUGACAGCCAGUGAGACUGAGGGAUCUGAUGAUAAUUGGCUCUGAGCUGUGAUUUCUUCACCUGUAAAACGGAGGCCUUUCUGCUGAAUUGGGUUGUUGUGGAGAUGGACAGAGCAUACACACUGAUCAGGGCCUCCCUAGCAUGGUUGAUUGUAGAUUUUCUCUGGUGAUACAGUUAAAAGUAGAAUCUCUAGCCACGGAGUGUUAGAUGCUGGGCACCUUAAAGGUGGUGUAAACAUACUGUGAUUCUAAUGCUACCUCGAAUUUACACCCUAGGCUCUUGUUUUAAAUUUAAAAAGACGAAUCAAGUAUAAACUGCCAAUGUGAAAUAAUCAUGGUCAGAAUUGAUCUAAUUCCUGUGAAGUUAUUUAGUUUUUCUUUUUCUGCAUCUAUAUUGAAGACAUCUAGAGUAGCACUAAAUGAGAUCCUAAAGCCUUCUAUUAAAGUGCUACCCAUCCAUUCCUCUCUCCUUGAGGACCUCUCAGGUGACUAAAGGAAACCUGAUUCCUUUUCAGAUUGUUCCCAGCUGGUGUGAUCUUUCUGUCCAUGGGCCUUGCCAAAAGCUGCAGAGCCAAUGUGCUGUUUCACAACACAAAAUUACAGACAUUAAUUUUACCAAUGAAGUUCCCUGACUCAGAUGCUGACGUCAAGUAAAGCUCCCAACUGUCCUUCCUAAUUCACUGACCUCCCAGAGAAGGGGAUUCUUGUUCUCUCUGAACACUUUCUUAAUAAUCCUUCAAGUCAAAGAUUUUCAAUUGCCUUAGUUAACUUCAUUUCCUAUCAAGUCAUGCCUCGAUCUGCUCUGGACCUAAGUGCACGUUUUACCUUUGCAGAAAGGUGUGUGGUAAAUGAACCAUAUAGUAAUAAAGUCCAUGUUUACAGGAAACAAACAGAUCUUGCGUAAAUGUCCUUGCCCUUGCAAUGCUAUACCAAACAAUAGUUUUUCGUUAAAUAAUACAUUCUUGGAUAUCACAGUGUGAUCAGAUAUUCUGUAUCCUAACUUAAUAAGUUAGAACAUUAAUAAUGUUCUCUCUAUAAUAUAAAUCACAUUCUCUCAUGUGUAUUCUGGUCUUUUUCUGUCAUGUCUGAUUGCAUCAUCAUGGGAAUCCCAAGGAACAUCAAUCCUGGGCUUUUGAAACAGUUGCAUAUGUCCAACCAGGAUCCAAAACCACCCAGGAGACUAUUGACACUUGACACACAUAAAUUGACCUCACUAUUUUCAUAUAGUUUAUUGCAAGAGGUCACCAUUCCUGACCAUGUCUCAUUAUCCAACAAGAUAAUAAAUGGAAGCGUAGGGGUCAAGGAGGUCACCCCACAAAGCACAAAAAAUCCAUCUCAGAUAAACAUUUACGGUUUGUUGAAUCCAAAAUAUCCAUGUAUUUCAGGACUCAAUGUAAGUCUAAACCUAAGGAUAACAGAUAUUGAAGAGAAUUAAGAGUUCCAGUUCAUAGGUUCAGUAAAUAUCUUCAACAAAUCA
rnacentral:sRNA from 1 species